rnacentral:pre_miRNA from 1 species
AAGAGAAGAGGAAGAAGAAGAAGGAGGAGUGAGUGUUAUUUUUUCAGGAAUCAGACGUACGCUCUUUUUCUUCUUCUUCUUCUUCUUCUUCUUCUUCU